UGUAAAGAUCACAGCCUUUGAGGGAAGACCUGUUAUUUGGACUGGAAGCUUCCAAUACUUUGGAAGCUGUGAGCAAACAAGACCAACGCUGGCUGCGUGAAAUCACUGAGUACGUCAAGUGCAGAAGGGAAAGCACCAAAAAAGCUGAGGGCUUUGAAACUGUUUAUCUAAGUUUCUUGCAUGGCCCCUCUUAUCGCAGCAUGGCAGCACCUCCCGGAUGGUAAGACGUUUAUCUUCUUGCCAACACCCUCACAGGGUUCCUAUCCCUAUUUUGGUUAGGAGACCCCUGUGCAGGCGCUGAGUGAUAUGCCCAAUGGCACUUGGGGUUUCUGUGGCAGAUCAAGGAAUGAAGCUCAGCUUUCCCAUGCCCUGGGCUAAUUCCUUAGCCCUGUGGGAUCCUGCUAGAAAUGAGCAGAAUGGCUUAGCAAAACACAGCAGCAUGUGGAAUUAAUGCUCCAAUGCUGUAUGAGGGAGGCCAUCCUUGAAUCUUAUGUUGGCACUUAAGUCCCAGCCUUUAGAAACAAGUUGCUGUUCUGUAGUGGGGAGCUGAAGUUGGCCCUGGGAUGAGCAGAAUUCAGCUACCUGGGGCAAAACUUAUUAGUCUGAGUAUAGUACUGUGAUGGGCAGGCCGUGCUGCUUCGGAGACCAGAUCUACACAAUGCCAUGUGUGCAGACCAACUGGGAUUCCAGGCUCUUUCAUCACCUUGGGUCAAAGGAGGAUCUCCUUGUGUCAGCAGGCCACUGGAUUACAACAAAUCACAGAACCAUAGGAGGUGGAAGGGUUUUCAAGGGAUCAUCUUGUCCAGCCCUCUUAGUGGGUUCUCCUGUGCAGUCUGCCCUUGUGAAAGCACUAUCCUGGGAUGCUGUUUUGCAUUAGUUUCCUUCCAAAAUGGGUCUGGCAGUUUCAGCCAUUGACCUGCUGGUUGCCCAUGAGUUGCCCCACGUUCUCACUCCUGCUUUCCUACCACCUCCUCCACCUCCUGAUCCAUGCUCUUCCCAUUACUACCACUGCAGAAUACCCUUGUCCUAACAAUGUGCCUUAGAAUCACAAAUAAUGGAGUGGGGAAUGAAUAACAGGAGAGAGUGAAUAUUUACUGUGUCCAGGUUAUUACUUAAUAACUGCCUGCUUCAUUCUUUGAUAACAUUUAAACUAUCUGAAAUUGCUGCAUCUAAUACAUGCUACUAAAUAGUGCCAUGCCCAUAACUUGAUUGCAGCAAUCCAUCGGGGACGUGUUUCAAAAUGUCAACAUUUCUCUGCAGUUCUUAGCACGAGCGUUGAGAAAACCCAGUGUUUCAGAUGCUGCUGGGUCUGCUAGAUGCUGAAGUGGUGUCAGCACGAUUUCUCUUACUCAGUACUGGCACCCAAAGCCACUUUUUGGGUGAGGCCAGAGUAAUAUUGUACACACGGACAGGCAAUUUGCUUAGAAGGGUAUAUGAGGCUGCAGAACAGUGGGAAGGUGAAGACGAGCACAGAAGGCAACAAUCCCUGCUGGCUGCCUUCCUGCUCCAUGCUCUGUUCCCAGUGGUUUCGCUGAACAGGCGAACUGGUGUGCUGUCAGUCUGGAAUGCCAUCAGCUCCUCCAAACCUUGGUUUCUGAGGGCUCGCUCUCCUGUGCACACUCAGCAAGUCUCCAGUAGGAGCGAAAAGCCUCUUCCAUUGUCACUGCAAGGCAGCAACGCAUCACGAAGUCCUCAUCUAAGGAGAUCCUAGAUGAGUGUCUCAUUUGCAUGUCUAACAAAGCUUUGGGUAAUCACGGAGAGGACGCUGGACUCAGUUAAAAGACUGGGUGUUUGGAAAGAGGCAUCUGUGCUCGGCGAUCCCUUGAUCUGCCUCAGAUUUGAGUCCGUCUUGCAAAAGGAUGCUGCAUCUUCGCUGCACAUCUGGAAAUUCCAGAUUUUUGUGGAAGGCAUUGGGUUCCGGAGCUGGGAGGUCUGGGACAUCAUACUGCUUGUUUUUUCAAGCACUCUUCUGUAGCAAAAGUAAUACCAGGAGUGGAAGGCCUUCCCUGGGCAGCCAGCAGAGGGGAGGAAGUACUGGGGUCUGCUGGCACAGCAGAGCUUGCCAAGGGAGAUCUCGAGUCCAGAUCUGGCUGGUUGCAGCAGUUUUGUUAUGGCAUUAUGCAAAGUCCUUUGAAGAUUUCCUCUUGGCAGAGCCUGCCGCGUCAUCACAGAGGUAGAGCAGGGAAUGAUCUAAAUCUUGUUAGGCGUUGUGAAGCAGUCAGAACAGCUGGCUGCAAAAUUAGCCCCUCAACAAAGAAGGAAGCGAGGGGGUUGUAAGCCUGAAAGAGUAGGGGUGAGGCUGUUAGUGAUACAGGACACAGUGCAGCAGGGGGCUGGGGCAGGUUGGCUCUGGCUUGAGAUGUGAAUGAAAGCAAGUGAAGGUGAGUUAAGGUAUUCAGGGAAAGGGGAGAUGAGCACAAUGAAGUCGAUAUAUGGAACAGCUCCUUUUUCUGAAGUUCCACGAUGUUCACCUAAGUGCAGUGAUCUUCAUGUCCUUCUAAUUCCCCUCUUUGCAAUCUCACAAAUCGAGGGGUGGCUUUGCUUUUACCUGCUGUUGCAUACUGUUGGUAACUCACGGUGGUCUCCCAAGGUGACUGCCCACACCUGGGGCUGGUCAUGCUCUGACUGUGCAGGUGACAGAGCCUUGGCCAGGACACAUUCUGUGCUUGUGUUCCUGCCAUUUCCCCUCACUCUGGGGUGUCACAUCCUCAGGGCCCCAGCACAGAGGUCUUUAGCUUCACAGCGAUGUCUUUCACACCUUCCCCACCAUAUGCUUCUCUUGCUUCCCUUUCCUGCCAAAGUACAUCCCCAACUUCUCUGUCCGCAUUUGCUCCUCCUCUGUCUCUAAUGAGGCAAAUGUUAAAGCUCAGCAAAGGAUAUCUGUUGAGCUCUGAGGAUUGCUGGUGGGAGAAACCCCACGGGUGGCUGAAAAUGUUUCAGCAUCCCCCUUCUUACUUUUCAUUUACAUCUCGUCUCUGCAGAGUGGGUAGUGUUCCUUGGAAACAGCAACACUUAUAUACGUUACUAUAUUACUUAUAUACAUUAACUAUAUUACAUAUAGUACGAGGGCUGCUCCGAAUGUAGUGCCUCCCAUUUUAUGAUGUCAACCUACAAAGUCAGAGGCAGAUGUUGGUGGUGUGACAGUAGAGGUUGAACCUUCUCACCAAUAUUCCAUUACAUGUUGUUGCCACGUGACAGAUGGCAGCAAGAGGGGCAGUCUGACAGAAUGGCACUUGAAGAAGAUGGAAGAGCAUGUGAAGCAAAGGUAUGUCACUGAAUUCCUCCGUGUGGAAAAAAUGGCACCCAUUGACAUUCAUCAGUGCUGGCUGAACAUUUAUGGAGACCAAACAGUAGAUGUGAGCACAGUGAGUGAUGUUACGACAGCAGCAGUGGGUCACUUGCGCUAGUACAGACUGUUACGUGCAUGGCAUAGAGGUUCUUGUUCAUUGCUAGUGAAGAUGGAUAGCUAAUGAUGGUGACUAUGAUGAAAAAGAAUGUCUUGUAGCUGAGAAUUUGCUCUAUCAAAUACUGUUGUUGUGCUCUUUGUAUCUGCUGUAGUUUCCACGGAAAUAAGAAGGCAUUACUUUUGGAACAACCACUGUAGAUGCAGCCCUGGAUAAUUCCUCUUCACCCAAUGUGGCCCAGCGACCAGCAGCAGAGACGCUGUCCUGCCCGUCCCACAUUGUUUUCCCUGUGGCUUGGAAAGCCCAAAAGUCUCUGGUGAAACCUUUGAAAGCUGCUUCUUUAAAGGGCCUGAAAACCUCCACCCCAGCAAAACCCCCAGGCUGGGGCUCUUCACUGAAGACCCACGUUGCAUCCGAGGACAAGGCUUUUUCUUCCCAAGGGGGUCCUGCUGUGCGUGGAAAUAUGAAAGAUGCCCUCGAAAAGAAACAAACCCUUCAGGUUGCAGUAGAGACGGAGUGGGGCUGAACAUCAAUUUCAGCUUUCAAGUGACUUUACGCUGUCUCCUUGAUUGACUUGCCAGUUUUAAUACUGUAAAUUGAGGGAUUGCGUGUAAUGCAUUCAUGCCGUUCUUGUCUGGAAUGAAGCAGGAACAUAAUUUAUGGGGAUAUUCUCAUCUCAGCCUUUGAGGAAUUAGCUUCAAUUAACUCUGUUGGGAAUUGCAUGUGUCGGGUGUCAGAAAGCCAUCAAGUUUUCUUUAGAAAUGCCUGCUGCUGCGCACAUUUCAUUCUUUGGCUGUCUGAAGGGUUUUAGCAGUGGAUAAGGAUUCAAAGCUUGGGAAACUCAGAUCCGGGUGACCAAGUUUCACAGGGUUAAUACAGAGCACGGAUGAUGGACAGGGCUGCAGCCCAUUAGGAUUUAUAGCCCUCCAGUACGAGCAGGAGAGUUUUGGGGGAGGGUCGAGCAGCUCCUGAACCCAGUGUGCAGAAUGAGCAAACAAACCAGGAGACAGGCUGGAAAAUAAGAUCUCGGUGGAUAAAUCUUACUGACACCCAUGAGAAUAAGAAAGAGCAUUGGCUUCGGGUGCCAUUUUGAAACAGAGACUCCUCAGCACUGGGUUUCUGUGCUGGUGGGGACAGAUUCAGGCAGAGAUGUCUGAUGCUUCUUGAAGGCCAAAAAUCCCCCCUCCUGGCCCUUAAUCAGCACUUCAUUAUCAGCUGCCACCCCCAGAUCAGCCACCAGCCUCACUUUGUGGGUGCAAACUGUUUCCCAGAGAUGCCCUCACACCUAAAGGGCCAAUUCUCCAUCCCCAGCUUAUCCCGAGGAUUAAAAACCCACCCAAGCGCCAUCUGAGCAAAUCCAAACCAGGAAUCCUAAUCAGUUCUGUUGCUAAAAGUGCAUUAAUGCGACACAAGAGAGAGCGUGGCUUUCUUCCAGCGGAUCCAACAAUCACAGCUCAUUUGGGUGAGGGAUUUUUCUGCUGCUGUGUAUUGACACAAAGGAGCACUUAGCUUGAUAAUGCCUCCUGGCUGCUGCCACGAUGCGAAUAUUAAGAACAAAUUAAGGUGUAAGACUAAGCUCUAGGUGUUGUUACCUGUUCACGGUGAGGUAGCAGUUGCUUCUUUAGCUUUUUCACACCAAAAUAUUGGCUCUCAGCGCUCAGGAGUUUAAAAAUAAAAUUGAGCUCCUACCUAUCGCAGGAAACAAUUAGGAUGCGAGGUCUCUUUUUAAUAUUUCUUCUGUGGUGUUUCUAAUCUGCAGUUUAAUCUGACAUGGUGUGAAGUAGGACCGGCUGCAAUCCCCAUGAAUCCAGCUGGUCGGGAUGACUUGCUCACUGAGCUGGUUGAAAGCAGUGCGGACACAGCAGCUCGCAUAAAUUGAAUGCCAGCUUGAUGUUUGUCAUGGCCACAGAAAUCCUGAGGCUGAGACUGGUGUCAGCAUGGGGAUUGUCCUGCACCAGAGUUCUGCUGCCUGGACUGGCUGAUCUUGGGGUGUUUGCCACUCUGAAUCCCACUUAGGGUGGCAGUGGCAAAGGUGAAAGUAGUUGCUCAAAUUCUCCGAAGUCAAACUGUAUUGACCCUCAGUUAGGUGUAAAGUUUGUUUGCCUACAUGUACCCUUGACAUGACACCUAACUGAGUGGUGCAGCUGAUAGAUCAGAAGGAAGGGAUGGCACCCAGGAGGACCUGGGCAGGCUUUAAAAGUGGGCCCACAUGAAACCAGUGAAGUUCAACAAGGCCAAGUGCAAGGUACUACUCUUGAAUCAGGAUGAUCCCAGCUGUGGGUACUGGGAGAAGAACUCAUUGUGAGCAGCCCUGCCGAAAAGAACAUGGGGGUUCUGGUGGACAAGAAGCUGAGCAUGAGCCUGCAGUGUGUGCUUGCAGCCCAGAAGACCAGCUGUGUCCUGGGCUGCAUCAAGAGAGGGGUGACACUGGGACAAGGAGGGGAUUGUCCCCCUCUGUUCUGCCUUUGUGAGGCUUCAUCUGCAGUACUGCAUCCAGGCCUGGGGCCUCCAGCACAGAAAGGAUGAGGAGCUGUUAGAGCAGGUCCAGAAGAUUCCACAAAGAUGCUUAGAGGGAUGAAGCACCUCUUCCAUGAAGAAAGGUUGAAGGAAGUGGGCUUGUUCAGCCUGGAGAAGAGAAGGCUCCAGGGAGACCUUAUCGUGGCCUUGCAGUACUUGAUGGGAGAUUAUAAGCAGGAGGGAGACUGGCUUUUUACACAGUCUGAUAGUGGUAUGAUAAGAGGGAAUGGCUUUAUGAGGGGAGAUUUAGGUUAGAUGUUAGAAAGAAUUUUUUUACUCAGAGGAUGGUGAGGCUCUGGCACUGCUGCCCAGAGCUGUGGGUGCCCCAUUACCAACCAAAGCCAUUCUGUCAUUAAUAGUUGCAGAAAGAUGAGUGAUUGGGAUGAAAGAGGUGUCUUCUGGGUUACUGAGUGCUGGCGACAAAGCUGGCCAAACACCCUGCCUCCAGAAAUGAUCUCAGCAGUAUGUGCAGCAUAGUCAAACCUAGGGGACUGGAAGGAACAGGGAGAAAUGAGCAACAGAACAAAGCUAGGCUUGCUUUGGAAAUACUUCAGCUAAGUAAACACAUCUAAAACUAAUCUGCUCUCUAGUGAGACGGGGAAGCUGGAAAAAGCAUGGUGAAGCUUUGGUGGCUGACCAUAUGAAGGAUGAGUUCUAGGAGAUGACAGAACAGCUGCUGGGUGACAGGCUGGGAUGUACACGCUCAGUGCUGGGGAGAACAUGGGCUGCAAGUCCAUUGGCUUUCUGACCCUUCUGGGUGGCACCUUGUCCCCUCCUUGGCACCCGCCUACAACACGGCGGUGAUGAGUGGCAGGAAUUUGGAGAAUAGCACCGGCAGUGUGCUGGAGAGGAUGUGCUGGAGAGGAUGAUUUACGUAUGCAAUGCUGACAAGGAGAUGUGUGCAUAGCUUAGCUAAGCACCAGUCUGACACUGGAGGAGAGGAGGGGAGAGGUUAGGUAAGAGCAGCAGUCAUUGGAAAGCCUGAAGUGCUGGUAAGGAAGGAGGGAUAUUUUCGUUGGUGAGAGAGAGAAUGAGGAAAACAAUGGCAUGGCAACCAACAAAGAAAAGUGCAGUGAGGACAUCUGAUAUGGCAUUUAAUGGCUUUCCAAAGGGAAUGGCUGAAGUUCCAUAAACACAAAAUUUGAACAUUACACAGCAAAUAUGGUGUCAGGAAUUGUCCGGGGAUGAGGAUGGAGAGGAAUUUGGAAGCUUCCCCCACCCUGCUUUGACAAUUGCCCUGCAGCAUCCUGCCCUACCCAGCGGUACCGGAGGACUGCUUGUUCUUAGCAGCCCUGGCAGCAUGAAGUGAAACAUCUUCCUUCCAAAGAUACAGGGGGAUUUGGGAAGAGAUCUCCUCCAGGUGAGCAGCACAGCAUUAACCCCUCAGUUCCACGAGUCCCCCCUGGCUGAGCCCGAGCACUCGUGACUUCAGCUCCCUGCUUUGCCCAGCCAAAAAUGAUCUUUUAUUCCCCAACUUCAUUCAGAAAGGAACAUUCUGCUCAGUAAUGGACGAGGAUGACUGCAAAUGCUACCAGCCACACAGUAGCUCUGCGUUCCUCCUGAUUCACUCCGAGAUACAGAUUUGCUGAGGCUACUGGAAACGAUUGGGAAAUGCAGGAAAUGUAUUAGCAUGUGGCUCGGCAGCAGCUUAGCAAAUCUUGCCAAAAUCUCUCUGGCUGCCUGCGCUUUUUCUCUGCUUUUAAUGUCCUUUCAUCUUCAUUAACCUUUUAUAGCUCUGUCUGAUUGCUGCAGCUUUCCCACCAUUUCCUACCAAAAUGUCACUGUAAUAGCUUUGUUAUGGGCAGCCAAUAUCGAUGUUGGCCAUUGCAGGGCUGUUAACAUCUAAGAGAGUGAUUGAGAUGGGAUGGAGCUGUUUGCGAGCAAUGCUGAAGGUCAGAUGGAAGCUGCCAGGAGUGCAUGUAAGAGGGGAGCAGGAUGAUGUUAAUGGAAAUCACCCUCCGAAAUGCAUCUCGGUGGCUCUCCCAGAUGACCGAUAACCUUGUGAGAAUUGCAGCAGCUUCUGCAGCUCCUCGACCCAGCGAAUAAAUGUCCAGCUUUGUUCGUUUGCAACUGAGUUUUGAGGCCAAGUUUAAAAAUGACAGCAAUAAAAAAAAAAAAGCCCUCCAAAAAUGUUCCUUUUUUAAGAGUUUGGAAAAGAUGCUUGUCAGCUGCUGCAGUCUUUGUGAGCCUGGGUGUGGCUUUCUUGGGGUAUAACUCAGAGCUUUCCAUUGUCUAGCAGCUAGCUGGGGCAUUAAAUUGUCACGGAUCACAUCUUUUUCAUCACACAUGCACAAACCUGGAAGAUUAAUUAUACUCCCUUUUGUAAAAUGCAGUAUCCCAAGUGAUUAGGGAAGAAAUGAAUCAAGAAUAUGAAUUGUCUGGUUUUCAGCUCCCUUGGCAACCGCUUGUGGGGACUGCUGAAGAGCACAGCUUUGCUCCAUUACCAUCCCCCUCCCCAUCGUUGAUAGAGUAACGCAAUCCUGAUCUAUGGAGGCAUAGAAUCAUAGAAUUGUUGAGGUUGGAAAAGACCACUAAGAUCAUCAAGUCUGAAUGCCUGCAGAAACCCUAG
ensembl:lncRNA